rnacentral:rRNA from 1 species
GAUGAACGCUAGCGGGAGGCCUAACACAUGCAAGCCGAGCGGUAUGGGUAGCUUGCUACCCAGAGAGCGGCGUACGGGUGCGUAACACGUGUGCAACCUGCCCCUAUCCGGGGGAUAGCCCUCCGAAAGGAGGAUUAAUACCCCAUAAUAUAUCUGGUGGCAUCACUAGAUAUUGAAAACCCCGGUGGAUAGGGAUGGGCACGCGCAAGAUUAGAUAGUUGGCGGGGUAACGGCCCACCAAGUCGAUGAUCUUUAGGGGUCCUGAGAGGGAGAUCCCCCACACUGGUACUGAGACACGGACCAGACUCCUACGGGAGGCAGCAGUGAGGAAUAUUGGACAAUGGGUGGAAGCCUGAUCCAGCCAUCCCGCGUGAGGGACGACGGCCCUAUGGGUGGUAAACCUCUUUUGUACGGGGAUAAACCUAUCUACGUGUAGAUAGCUGAAGGUACCGUACGAAUAAGCACCGGCUAACUCCGUG